ensembl:lncRNA
GGAAAGGGGGAAUUGACCUGCCCACUCCGAAUGCAAAUGCCAAGUCCUGCGCAUUGGAUAUUUAUUCAAGCCACAAAUCCACGUUUGGUUACUCUUUAUUCCAGGCGUUUUUUGUAAAGAUGGUACAAUUUUAAAGUAACACACACGCAACCACGCAUGUUGGGGUGCUUCCGUUUACCCUGCCUGUAAAGUCCUCGACCAUUAAACAUCUGGUCAUCGAUUGAGCGACGGUCAGGUCAAUGGCCCCUUUGAGUCACCUUACUGAUCUAACCAGUAUUCUAUUGAAUUCAGCCUCUGCUUCCUGUUCUCCUGCCCUGAGCGGAAGACCUAUAGGAUGAGGGCCACGGUGGAGCAGAGGACCAGGCCAGACCCCAGUCCGCAUCCCACUCUGCUCCACUCUUUUGAUUCAGGGUGGCACAGCCACCAGCCAGUACAAUAAGCCCCGCCUCUCUGUCCACCAGCCUAUAGAGCUGUCCAAUGAGGUCACACCUUAAGGAAGGACAAAUAUUUGAUUACUUUCUGUGCUGCCAUUCAAAAUAGUAUGGUUCUUUACCAUCUAACCAUACAGUUGUAGUCUUUCGUGUUGCCCUUUGCAUCAUGGUUGGUGAUACGUUAUCAAUGGGUUUAUAACAAUGGAGAAUCUGUAGGCUAUUCAUAAAGUUGUACUUCUCUGCGGUAACAAAGGGGUUUGUGGGAGUGUUAUAGCUCAACAUGCGUUUGUUAUUUUUACAUAAUGUCACUAACAGGUCCACACUUAUUUCCGAGGAGACUUCACCCUGGGACCAGAACCUAAAUAUUAUUCACCCAGUGCUUUUGUAAACCAACCCCUUAAAAAAAGGAGGUCAAACAUGAAGUGUAUUGUAUGGCUGAGGCUGCCGAGCAGCAGUCUAUGUGGAUUCAGAUUCUCUACGCUAAAGGCAGCCAAAGUGCCAGCCUAGCUCUGUGUGGAAAAACCCUCCAGCACUCUGGAGAAAACACAACCUUCAACAGCUACUUUUGUUUAAUUGUUGUUAGACAUUCAUAUAUAUAUAUAUAUAUUUAAUAAAAAAUCCCUUCUAACGAUACCCAGCCUUGUUUUGCACCCUUUUGUCCAACACCGCAGCGUGUGUGACGAGCCAGACAUCAGUACUCACCGACGUUUGAGCUAUUGCAUCCUCCUCCCUGUAGGCCUGUCCCUACACAAUAACCAGUCAGGCCCCUUUGUUCCACAG